CCUACGGGAGGCAGCAGUGGGGAAUCUUGCACAAUGGAGGAAACUCUGAUGCAGCGAUGCCGCGUGAGUGAAGAAGGCCUUUGGGUUGUAAAGCUCUUUUGUAGGGGAAGAUAAUGACUGUACCCUAAGAAUAAGGUCCGGCUAACUUCGUGCCAGCAGCCGCGGUAAUACGAAGGGACCUAGCGUAGUUCGGAAUUACUGGGCGUAAAGCGCGCGUAGGCCGUUGAGUUAGUUAAUUGUGAAAUCCCAAAGCUUAACUUUGGAACUGCAAUUAAAACUGCUCGGCUAGAGUUUGAUAGAGGAAAGCGGAAUACAUAGUGUAGAGGUGAAAUUCGUAGAUAUUAUGUAGAACACCAGUUGCGAAGGCGGCUUUCUGGAUCAACACUGACGCUGAGGCGCGAAAGUAUGGGUAGCAAAGAGGAUUAGAUACCCUCGUAGUCCAUACCAUAAACGAUANAUNUNUANAUGUAGUAAUUAUUUAUAUAUCNCANCUACGACAUAAGUACAUACCGCCGUCGGGAGGUACGACCGACCGAACGGUUAAAACGUAACGAAAGAAGUAAGUAGUACGUUGUUAGUAGAGUUCGACGACGACGACGACGGAGGGAGGAG
rnacentral:rRNA from 1 species